rnacentral:rRNA from 1 species
GAUGAACGCUAGCUACAGGCUUAACACAUGCAAGUCGAGGGGAAACGACAUCGAAAGCUUGCUUUUGAUGGGCGUCGACCGGCGCACGGGUGAGUAACGCGUAUCCAACCUGCCCAUCACUUGGGAAUAACCUUGCGAAAGUAAGACUAAUACCCAAUGAUAUCCCACGAAGGCAUCGGAAUGGGAUUAAAGAUUUAUCGGUGAUGGAUGGGGAUGCGUCUGAUUAGCUUGUUGGCGGGGUAACGGCCCACCAAGGCAACGAUCAGUAGGGGUUCUGAGAGGAAGGUCCCCCACAUUGGAACUGAGACACGGUCCAAACUCCUACGGGAGGCAGCAGUGAGGAAUAUUGGUCAAUGGGCGAGAGCCUGAACCAGCCAAGUAGCGUGCAGGAAGACGGCCCCAUGGGUUGUAAACUGCUUUUAGAAGGGAAUAAAGUGGGUCACGUGUGACUUUUUGCAUGUACCUUAUGAAUAAGGACCGGCUAAUUCCGUG